AGUUAAUUGAAAAAACGUAUGAAAACAAUUUUUCUUAAUUUUGUCUUAAUUUUUUAAACAAAAUUUGUUUUCUGUUGUUUAAAACUAUGUAUUUGUAAAGAAUUAAGCCUUAUAAUUAUGAGAAAGAGUAUCACGAAAGAGAAACCGAAAGGCUCUAAUCGAUUACGGAAAAGCAAUUGUCAGACACACAAGUGGUUUGGUACCUCUGCAAUAUAUAAGACCUUUUGUGGUCUCAAGAUAAAAAAGAUGUGGUGAUUGGUUUGUGCAUUAUUGUGUAAAUAUUUUCCGAAUAGGAAACAAAAAUACAAAAACGCAACUACAUGUUGUUAAGUAAAACUAAAUCAUAUGAGAUAACAUGCAACGACUGACGUCGCGAUUAGCACGAUGCAAGUGACCUUGAUAGUGGUGUUGCUGAUGAUGAUGUUGCUGCGGCUGCUGCUGGUGCUGUUGUGUGGGUGGUUGUUGUGUUUGCAUUGUAGAUUGUUCGUGCUGUUUCUGCUGUUGUAAUUGCAGGUGUAAAAUGCCUUGUUCGUAUUUCUCAAUAUUAUUGUUAUUGUAGUUGUGGUUGUUGUUUUCAAACAUUGCCUCAUCGACCUGUUGUGGUAGCUGUUGCUGUUGCUGCGUUUGAUGAUGUGGCUCUUGUUUGCUUAUACCACCUUCCUCAGUAUCCAUUAAGCACGCUUGUGUGCCAAUUUGUGUUGAAGGCAAAGAAAAAAAAUCUGCAAUGAAAAAUAAAAAAAAAAGUAAAACCAUUAAACUAACUUAAACUUUAGAUUUAUUCGAGGACCUCGAAGUUGUAAGAAACAUAAAAUUACCGAUUGAGUUAGGAUACUGGCCCUAAAAUUGAAUACAUGUUGGCCAAUUUAAUAAGCGAAUUAUUUAAACGACUUAUUUGAAUCGUAUUUUUUUUUGUGAACAUUGAGUGACAUAAACGGUCUUUACGUACAAAAUUUGAUUUGAUUUUUUAUUUAUUUAAUACAUGUAAUUUGAAGCCAUCGGAUGGGCCAUAUAAAUAUAAAUUACAAAAUUAUCUACAAAUACUAAAGCUACUCUCUUAUAAAAGUAAAAAUGUAAAUAAAGAACAUCGUGAAUACCAUA